CGUGUUUGUGGCGUGAGUUUUUCCAUUGAAAACGAUGAAAGGCUAGGGAAAGCACAUGCUCCAAAGCUACCAAGGAUACAUUCAGUGAGACAAUGAGUGAACUAGAUUUUUAUAGGUAAACGUUCGCAUUGUGGGUAGUUAAUGCGAAGGUGACAUAGGGGAGUUGGAGUGACCAUCGUGGAGAAUGCAAGACAGUUAACGGAAUCUACAUAACAAAGAAGUCAUUCGAUAGACAUGGCCUGAGUAUCAGAUUUCGUGGCUACAAUGGCAAUUCAAAUACCAACGAAGCUCCCAUCCAGAGAGAGGAAGGGAGGUAUCUAAAGGUACAGCGAGAAUGUAUACAAGUGAAUAGCAAUUAUAUAUACACGGUGAAUAUAAUUUCUAUAUUAUAGUUAGGCAGUGGCUAUUCGUACGGCGGCCGAGCUUGUCACGUGACCGCUGCUCGGCGCUAACCCUAACCGGGCCAACCGUAAUUAUGGUAAUUAAUUAUAGUAAUAACCCUAACCCUUACCCUAACCAUAACCUGCCGUGAAAAUAGACUAAUGCAGUAUUUUUACGACGCGCUGUACGAAUAGCCUAAUUGCUAUUCUUACGGUCGCCGUACGAAUAGCCACUGCGUUAUAGUUAUGCUUGAUAUUUAAACGACACAGAGCUAUAUAUGCAAGAUAAGGUUGACGUCUCUUUUUUUUCUCCGAUAGGCCUCAGAGCAUCCUGCAUCAUCGAAGUUACCUGCUACAAGGGAUAUUGGCUGCAAUACUGAGCCACCUCAGAGACACCAUGUUGGCACACAACUUUCUUUGAAGACUCUUCAUUCACAUUACAGAAGUGAAGCUGUCCAGGCUACUGUGUCCUUCAAGGACUUUGGCACAUCCACUGAUCCCUUCACAGGCCCACUGCCUGUAGCAUGCUCGACACCUGUAAAGCUGCCACCAUCUAAGAGACCUUGGCUGCAGCAGCAGGAGGAGGAGGAGGAGGAGGAUUGUCUCGAGGGCAGCGCAAUACUGGCUUCUGAAGGCUUGGACGCAACCUUUUACCCUGAAGACUCGGUCACAACUUUGCCUGAGUCAACAUUCAUGUCGUGAGUAACUGAAAUAUCCAUGUCUCAAUGUAUAUAAUCAGUUUUUUGUGGAAAUGGAUGGUGUGUACUUCAGGAGUUCUGCUUUAUAAUGCUUUUUUAAAGUAUUUGGUUAUUGUUCAAACUGUUUGAAAGAGUUAUUUUAUUGAUUAACUAAUUCCCCCCCCCCAGAGAUGCUGAAUCCACAUCCAAACACGAUAUAAGGAAGUACA
rnacentral:lncRNA from 1 species